AAUGAACGUUGGCGGCGUGGAUUAGGCAUGCAAGUCGAGGGAGAACCCGCAAGGGGGACACCGGCGAACGGGGUAGGACAAUCUCGGUAACGUACCCUUCGGACGGGGAUAGCCCCGGGAAACUGUGGGUAAUACCCGAUGAUUUGGCAGACGGUUAGGGUCUGUCAGCAAAGGUGAGAUUCCCCCGGAGGAGCGGGUGAGACGCUAUUAGCUUGUUGGUGAGGUAAUGGCUUACCAAGGCGACGAUGGCUAGGGGGUGUGAGAGCAUGGCCCCCCCCCCUGGCACUGAGACACUGGCCCGACACCUACGGGUGGCUGCCGUCGAGAAUUUUUGGCAAUGGGCGCAAGCCUGACCGAGCGACGCCGCGUGCGGGAUGAAGGUUUUCGGAUUGUAAACCGCUGUCGGAGGGGAUGAAGUGUACGGGAGCUAUUUCCUGUAUUUGACAGAGCCUCGGAGGAAGCCCGGGCUAAGUUCGUG
rnacentral:rRNA from 1 species